UGCACCAAAUUGAAGGAGAUGCUGAUGCAUCCUGAAAACUUCUUUAUUUACUGUGCGGAUAAAUCGCUGAAACGU
rnacentral:tRNA from 1 species